UGGGCCAUGCCAUCUGUUGGGAAUAGUGUCCCAAAGCUAAUCGUCAGUCUAUUGACGGUUGUGCUCCUUUUUGUAUUAGUAUAUGAAUUAUAAAUAAAUAAAAGUUAUUUUGAUAUUUUUUAUCACAAAAUAUUUCAUCUUCUAAUGAACUCCUGUAUUGUGGUGAAGUCCUUAGAACUAUUUAGACUCGACAAAAAAAGAUUUGUCGUUUAGUCCUUAAAUCUGUUCGCGACCAAAUG
rnacentral:lncRNA from 1 species